GAUGAACGCUGGCGGCGUGCCUAAUACAUGCAAGUCGAGCGAACAGACGAGGCGCUUGCUCCUCUGACGUUAGCGGCGGACGGGUGAGUCACACGUGGAUAACCUACCUAUAAGACUGGGAUAACUUCGGGAAACCGGCGCUAAUACCGGAUAAUCUAUUGAACCGCAUGGUUCAAUAGUGAAAGACGGUUUUGCUGUCACUUAUAGAUGGAUCCGCGCCGCAUUAGCUAGUUGGUAAGGUAACGGCUUUCCAAGGCAACGAUGCGUAGCCGACCGGCGAGGGGGAUCGGCCACACGGGAACUGAGACAGGGUCCAGAGUCCUACGGGAGGCAGCAGUAGGGAAUCGGCCGCAAUGGGCGAAAGCCUGACGGAGCAACGCCGCGUGAGUGAUGAAGGUCUUCGGAGCGUAAAACUCUGUUAUGAGGGAAGAACAAAUGUGUAAGGAACUAUGCACGGCGUGACGGUACCUAAUCAGAAAGCCACGGCUAACUACGUG
rnacentral:rRNA from 1 species